rnacentral:lncRNA from 1 species
CAUCUGAAGCCAUAACAGAAACAAGGGUGGUUGUGCCAUUUCUGUGGCUAUUAUAGCAGCAUGGAAGGCAAACCCAUGAAAUGUCCUUUUCAUGAGAUAAUUUAAGAAGAUAACUUUCCUCAUAGUGGUCUUCAUAAAAACAUCAAUCAGGGAAUUUGAAUGUGGCCAAAUGCCUUCUUAUCGCCAUUUAUUCUUUGGACUUGACUCAUUAAUCAAUACUACAGAACAUGUGUCUUGGUCUGGUAAGAUUCCAUCUUACUCUUUAUCUAAAGUUUCAACGUUUGAGUUUUCUCAUAACACUUUAUCUGAUGUCACCAUACAGUUUGAACGUGGCUGUGAGGUUUGGAGGCUCUUUUCUGGUCUCCAACUUCCCACUUCAAGCAAUAGUUAGUAUGCUUCUAAGUAACUUCUCAUCUUCCAUGAAAACUAAUUCUUUGAUAUUAUAUUUACAAAAUCUUCCUUUCUGUAUGUAACUGAGGGAAAAAAAAAAGAUAAAAAGAUAUUUCCAUUCAGUCAUCUGAACAUGAAAUUUCCAGUGAAGAGUCUAACCCUCAGAACCAUAAUAUGUAAACACUGUACAUGCUAGAAUCUGCAGCAGCAAUUUUGACUUUCCCCCCCUAUUCUCUGUGCUCUGAAGUUUAUAAAUAGUAAUAACUGAUUGAUCCAGCUGCCCACCUAUUCUGCAGCAUUUCCAAUAAAGCUGCAGCGUCUCAGUCUUAACAUUAAGAAUCUUCAUGACUUUAGGUUGUAUGGCUGCCUUGUGUUGCUCCUGUCUUAGAGGAGUGCCCUGUUACUCAAGUUAGACGGUUCCUCACAGUUCCUUGUUUGAAAUUCUUCCAAAGGAGCUUGAAGACUCAAGGGGGAAAUUAUUUCCAAGCUGCUCUAAGAAAACUUCAUAUAUGACAUUAUGAUUGGGUUAUAAUGACAACGCACUUCAGAGCUGCAGUUUGAUUGCAAAUCUCAGAGGCAUAUUCUAUACAUUAAUAUCCCAAGUUUACAGUAGAUUAUUUCAGUUGCUUGAUUUUCUUUUUUUUUUUUUUUGAGGUUGCUUAUUUGGCAGAGGGCUUCUUGGCUUUUCUCCUGUUGCUUAAUGCCAGGGAUGGUGUGCUUAGGCUUCAAAGUCUCAACAGAAUUGCAGAUAUUGUGAAAAUCACAGGACUUUCAAAGAAUUGUGCAUGUAGGAACAGAAAUUCACCUAGUACUCCAUUACUGAGUUUUUACUUUGGUAAGCCUCUUGGAGCUACUCCCUCAGUGGAAGGCUUUUGACUAUAGAAGACCAACAACCUAAAGACUAAGUGGACCUGAUUGAAAUCUUGACUCAGAUGACAGCCUACUGUCUUUUCUCACAGGCAAAUGAGUGUUAAUUGAGUUUAAUGGAGAUACAACAAUUGCAAACGUUAAAAGAAUUCAAUUAUCUGGGACCCAUGGUUUCAUUUCUUUAUAUAUAAUUCUUUCUUCUCUGGCUAUGUGAGUCUGCCUGGGUUGGUCACUUUUUGGAUUACUGUUUUUUCUUUAGAACCAUGGUUGAGAUCAUUCACCUCAAGAUCUUCAUGAUUUCACGUGUUUUAAUUGAUCCUGACUGGUUUCUGUCAAGAUCCAAUAAUGAGACACAAAUGCCAUCUUAUGUUUGUGAACCAGAAAAAAAAAACCCCAUUUAGAUGAAACAUAGUGGUUUGGUUUUGGAAAUGCCUUGUAGUGAAUGUGUGCAUGACAUUGAAAGUAAUUAUCUACCUUCAGCAAAGAAAAAAUUUGCUUGGACAAAUUUACUCAGUUGAUCAGUAUAUCUAUGCUUUCUCUUCUUGUGACUUCAUGAACUCUUACAAUUGUAUUUCCUUUCAGCAAUUUUGUAAAUGAAUAUUUUUAUUUCUUUUAUAGUAAUAUGACUUGAGGUAAGCAUUAUGUCAAUGUGAUUGUUUACCCUUUAAGGCACCCCACGAUUAUAAAUGUAUAAAUUAUACAUUUAGCAGUGCAGUACUAGAACACAGAAUUUACUGCAUCAAUAUAGUUUUAAUUGGAGUGCUCCAAAAUAACAAAAUCAGCUUCCUCUCCAUGGAAUUUUUUGCCAUUUUUGCCUUCUUGGCACUGCUAAUAUAUUUUUAGUUGAUCAGGUGUUCACCUCUGUUCUGUUUGAGUAAGUAAUUAGCCAGCUGUGCAUUCCUUAAGGAAAAUAGGCUUUCUUAUCUUCAGCACAGGCUGGCUUGAAGAUAAAUGCAGAGAAUAGCUUUACUGUUGAUAGGAGUAAGCCAGGCAUGUUCCCAGUAUGUAGGAUGUUAGUGGGCUAAGUGCCUCAAAACCCAGGAUCCCCCAGCAUUUUAUAUGCUUUAUUGGUCUAAUAUUUUGUCAGCAGACUCUGUGGAGCAGGACACCUUAGUAGAUCUGGAUUCUGCAUCUUAGACUGCCUGUCCUGUUAUUUUCACAAGAGUUUCUGUUGCUCAGGGGGAAAUGAUUCAAUGUUCCAUUCAUUUCUACUGAUACCCUGAGGAUUUUAGCAAAGCAGGAAUGGAAGAACCUUUGAGUUGCAAAAAGAUGUAAAAAAUAGCAGAGAAACCAAUGUUUCUAAGCAAUCCAUUCCAAGAACAUACAAAACAGUUUGUUUAGUGUCCUAGAUAGAUGUUGUAUCUUUAAAUAAUGAAUAAAGCAGUACUUAAGUCCCAGUUUCCAUAGUGAAUAGAGAACUUUCCUUGGUAAUUCCUUGAAUUCCUUGAUAAAGAUGCUUUUGAGGAAAUGGCGACUGAAAAGACAAUUCAGAAAACCAAUUACUAUUUCCCCUACAGAGAAAAACAACAUAUAGAGGGUCUUCCUAUUUUUUUUUCUUAUUUAUUUAUUUUCCUUUACCAUUUUAAAGAACACCAAAGAGUAGAUCUUAAAACGUCCAGAAGAUGGGAUCAGUGCUUUACAACCUGGCACAUGCACUUAUCAAGGGCUGAGUGUUUUAGGAAUCCUGUUGCUCAGGACACGGGUUAGCAGUUCAGCACUAUUCCCAUUUUUGUACUGGGAAGAAUUAGCAGUUGAGUGACUGUAGACAUUUUGUCACUUUUCAAAGCCCUCACAAUAUGCCCAUUAAUACUAAUGGGAAUCUCCCACAUGCAUAAGAGAUGGAGGGUCUUCUCUGUAUGUUCAAAUAAGCAAUUCCUUGGUCAUUCAUUACUCUGUUUCCACUGAAACAGGAAAUUUCUAUUCACUAAAUGCUUACCUCAGUGAUAGUUUUGAAAGGAUUUAUUUGAUAAUUGGAAGGGGUGAGGUGAAGGGAAAGAAAAAAAGAAGGGAGAAAGAAAUAUUGGCAAAGGAGGAAAGGGGCAAAUAAAACCAGGAGGUAGUUUGGUUUGGUUUUUUUUUUUUUUUUUUUAAUCUAACUAUUUCCUAUGAUCUACUAUUCUUGCAAUUUUCCACUAAACUCAGAAAGUUUACAAUAACUUCCUCACAACAGUUUUAUCAAAAAUAGAAAGCAUGCUUCCAGCUAUAAUCAGCAUCCCUCAAACAGCUCAGCUUUACUCUUUGUGGGGAAAGAAUAAAAGGAAGACAGGGAGUAAAAUGGAAUUACAUUUCACAGCAGUAUUUGCUUGCCCAAAUCCAUACAGCUAUAGCUUAUGCACUCAGUAAAACAUUUUAAAAUAAAAAUGCAUCUAUAAUGGUAUGAAAUUUACUCCUGCUGGAAAUGUUCAAUUUAUGGUCAAUAUUUUUCCUUAAAUCUGGAAAGUGGCAGCAGCAGAAGGAUCCACUUACUCAGCAGACUUUUGGGAUUUUGCCUCUACAUACCUAAGGUCCACAUUUUCUCUUGACCAGGACUUGGUGUCAUUUAGAGCCCAAUGACUAGGCUAGGUAGAGACAGUCUUUUCAAGAACAUCUCUUUAGGGUCUGAUGUGACCAGUGUGCCUUUGCAUCUCAUGCCAUGGUACUGAGGAUACCCUGUCUGGGGCAAUAAUUUCAUAGAACUGCCACUCAGUGCUGUCUCUGGUGACACACACCAGUCUGGCCAUGUAAGGCUGGGACUCUGUGAGGUUGUUUCUGAUUCCCUGUGACUAGUAUUUAUUUAUGUUUAAAUAUAUGACAUUGUUAAUUAGUGUACUUUAUCAGUGCUUUGCAUGAGGGCAUAUCACAAAUACAAGUUGCAAGACUAAGGAAAUCCAUAUGUCCUGCCAGUUUAACAGAUCCCUUCUUUUCCCAUGGGAAUUUGAAAAUGUAGUCUCUGAGUAAUAUUUCUGAACAGCUGGUGGUCAUAGAAUCACAGCAAAUGAUUUGUGGAAGGUGUUACCUGUUAGAUAUCAUGGUAGAAAUGCCAGGAACCGAGUUAUGGUGCCUGACCUGCCCCUCCUCUCCCCAAAAACCUGUGUAUUGCUCAGGAAAAGAGCUUUCUGCUUCACUAUGUUGUCAGAUAAUACCUUCUCCUCAUUGUCAUGACAGUGGGCAAACAAGAGUGACCAUCUUCAUCCUCCACUGUGCUGACAAAGGGUAGUGGACACAAGGCUCAGUGCCUAUUAAUUAAUAAUGUCUUGUAAGAAAAAGUAGAUAGCAGCUUGGGCAGGUGGAAUAGGACGUUUCUGUGUCUCAGACAAAUGCUGAGUAUUUGUGUAAUGAGAAGAAGGUCCUGAGAGACCUCAUUAGAUGACACCAAACCAAAAAUUCCCUUGGGGAAUUUUUUCAUACCAUGUUCAUCAGCAGGAUGUGAUGGGCUGUGGAUUAAAGCCAGGGAGGAAAUGGCAGACCCACUUGAAAACUCAGAGGGCACAAACCUCGCUGGAGGUGUUGAACUGCUGGACUGCUGACUGCUGUAGGAUGAGUUUUUCUGUCUCCCUGUUGCAGCUGUGCCCUAUAUAAUAAGCAAUUAAUAAUAAUUUAGACAAGAAGAGGCACAGUGAUUAGAAUGCCUGGUAUAUUAGUCUGGGGUGAAGGACAGUGUCAACUUUUACCUCUGCCUGAUUCAUUACAGGGAUUGCAGUGUGGAUGUCCUGCAUUCCUAGGUAGUUGUUUCUCUACUCAUUUUGCUUGAUAGUUUUGAGCAAAUGUAGCUGGUUUGUUCCUUGGUAUAAAAUCUGGAAGUCUUGCAUUCCAUACAGAUAUUCAUGCUCAUGAAAGAAACGGAGAAUAUGACAUUAAGAAGUAUUACUCUCAUUCCAGUAUAUAAUAUCGAUACAAAUAUAAACUUUCUCAUACAAAGUCUGAGCUUACAAGUUUAAAGGGGAGUUUUAACUUCAUUUUUAUCUGCUUGCACAUGACUUGAAAGUCAAACAUUACAAAUAAAAAGUUGUAUCAAAUUUAAUUGAAUGCUCAAAUUAAACAGAAGAAAGUUUUCUCAAAAAAUGAGUUCUGGUCUAGGAAAAAGUAGUAGAGAAAGUAGAUAAACACUAAGAACAGUGAUCCAAACCCUCUGAAACAAAAAAUGAAAGCUGGUGUGUGAAAUGUUUUAUGGAAGGGUCUAGAUGUGUGUGUUCUCAGAGAUGGUCUGUUCCUUGGAAUAGUAGUAGCAUUUGGUAAAAUGUUUAAGGAGUUGGAAUCUGAGCAGUUCCCAAAUAAUCCUGCUGCAGAGGACAGCUUUAUCUAUAUUUAUGUGUUACUCAAGGGACACUGGUAAUGCUCUACUCUUUGGUGAUGUUUAUAAGCAUUUUAUUAAUAUUUUAGUUGCAGUUAAUGGAUGUUCCACCAUUUUUCCUCACAUGUUAAUAAGCAUUUGCUAAAUUUUUAAUUUCCAUGGCUGCAAACUGAUAAAUUGUUUCUAAUAAAACCCUUCAAAACCAUCCCUUUUUAUCUUUCACAAGCUUCAAAUAUAUUUUUAGACACAUUAAGGGAAAGAACUUUGCAAAAUUUCUGUAUUUUUCCAGUGGAACAUUUUCAAGUUGUUCAUCUUUUACAGCUCUUCUUUUAGGGGUGAAGUAAUAAUUUGUGCUUAUAGAACUCCCACAGGAAUUUUUUCACUGGCUUAGAUGAAUGGUCGAUGUAGCCCAGAGAUGCUCUUUAAAGUGGACACUUAAACCUGGCUGCUACUGAUGUGGAGACAACUAAGUUCACUCUCACAGAUGAGUUUUUCUGGAGAUAUUUCAUCUUUCAGACUCACCACUUUGUAUUCUCCUGGUCUGCUUCUCUCUGCCGUACCAGAUGCUCCACUGGUGGCUGCACACCCCCAUGUAUUUGCUGACUUUACAUUGUAAACAAGGCUGAAGAUAACCUAAAAGAAGAAUCCUGCGACUGAACCACCUUUGCAGUUUACUGUGGGCUUACUCUCUCCAUGACAAAGACCAGUUCCACACAAGGGAUCUGUAUAGAAUCCAGCAAUUCUGAAGAGACUUGUAAAAUACUUGCUGUGAUUUUUAAAAGUUUUAAUGCCUGAGGAGGCUUUGGUCUGCUUUGGCUAUAUACUACUACUUAAGGAAGGAAAAGAAUACAAAACCACACAGGGUAAUCUUUUCCUCCAGGAAUUUAAUUCUGUGCUAAUAGUAGCUUCUCAGGAGUAAUUCAGCCUUGAGUCUUAACUACUCAUAGCUUGGAGAAAAAUCCACUGAUAGUGUUGCCUCGGUCUUCUGAAAGUUUUUCUGAGCUCAAAAAUGCAAUGUAGCAAGUCUGCUGAAAAAUCAGAACUUGUCUGCAUGCUACAAGUUGGAAUUAAGAAAUGUUUAUGUAAUACUUUCCUCUGGUAGCUCUAUAACAACCACAAUUGAAAAUCUCCCAUAUAAAUAAAGGCAUU